GAUGAACGCUAGCGGGAGGCUUAACACAUGCAAGUCGAGCGGGAUUAGCAGCAAUGCUAUGAGAGCGGCGCACGGGUGCGUAACGCGUAUGCAACCUGCCUUAUACAGGGGAAUAGCCCAUGGAAACGUGGAUUAACGUCCCAUAGGAUUACAGUCUCGCAUGAGACAGUGAUUAAAACUGAGGUGGUAUAAGAUGGGCAUGCGUCUGAUUAGGUAGUUGGUAGGGUAAUGGCCUACCAAGCCGACGAUCAGUAGGGGUUCUGAGAGGAUUACCCCCCACACUGGUACUGAGACACGGACCAGACUCCUACGGGAGGCAGCAGUGAGGAAUAUUGGUCAAUGGCCGGAAGGCUGAACCAGCCAUCCCGCGUGCAGGAUGACGGCCCUAUGGGUUGUAAACUGCUUUUUGUACCUGAAGAAACCUGGUUACGUGUAACCAGUUGCCGGUAAGGUAUGAAUAAGCAUCGGCUAACUCCGUGCCAGCAGCCGCGGUAAU
rnacentral:rRNA from 1 species